GACGUAGGGCGCGAGCGUUGUCCGGAUUUAUUGGGCGUAAAGAGCUCGUAGGCGGUUUGUCGCGUCUGCUGUGAAAACCUAAGGCUCAACCUUGGGCUUGCAGUGGGUACGGGCAGACUAGAGUGCGGUAGGGGUGACUGGAAUUCCUGGUGUAGCGGUGGAAUGCGCAGAUAUCAGGAGGAACACCGGUGGCGAAGGCGGGUCUCUGGGCCGAUACUGACGCUGGAGGAGCGAAAGCGUGGGGAGCGAACAGG
rnacentral:rRNA from 1 species